UAGGGAAUCUUCCGCAAUGGGCGAAAGCUUGACGGAGCAACGCCGCGUGAGUGAUGAAUGUCUUCGGAUCGUAAAACUCUGUUAUUAGGGAAGAACAAAUGUGUAAGUAACUAUGCACGUCUUGACGGUACCUAAUCAGAAAGCCACGGCUAACUACGUGCCAGCAGCCGCGGUAAUACGUAGGUGGCAAGCGUUAUCCGGAAUUAUUGGGCGUAAAGCGCGCGUAGGCGGUUUUUUAAGUCUGAUGUGAAAGCCCACGGCUCAACCGUGGAGGGUCAUUGGAAACUGGAAAACUUGAGUGCAGAAGAGGAAAGUGGAAUUCCAUGUGUAGCGGUGAAAUGCGCAGAGAUAUGGAGGAACACCAGUGGCGAAGGCGACUUUCUGGUCUGUAACUGACGCUGAUGUGCGAAAGCGUGGGGAUCAAACAGG
rnacentral:rRNA from 1 species